GUUGGAAAAAUAAGACAUAUACUGAAAUUUUAACGACACAGUGAAUAUUAGGUUCCUGUGCAAGGAUGACGCGCACAUUUGUGAAGCAUUACACACAUUU